rnacentral:rRNA from 1 species
GACGAACGCUGGCGGCGUGCCUAAUACAUGCAAGUCGAACGCUGAAGGAGGAGCUUGCUUCUCUGGAUGAGUUGCGAACGGGUGAGUAACGCGUAGGUAACCUGCCUGGUAGCGGGGGAUAACUAUUGGAAACGAUAGCUAAUACCGCAUAAUAGCAGUUAUUGCAUGAUAACUGUUUGAAAGGUGCAAUUGCACCACUACCAGAUGGACCUGCGUUGUAUUAGCUAGUUGGUGGGGUAACGGCUCACCAAGGCGACGAUACAUAGCCGACCUGAGAGGGUGAUCGGCCACACUGGGACUGAGACACGGCCCAGACUCCUACGGGAGGCAGCAGUAGGGAAUCUUCGGCAAUGGACGGAAGUCUGACCGAGCAACGCCGCGUGAGUGAAGAAGGGUUUCGGAUCGUAAAGCUCUGUUGUAAGAGAAGAACGAGUGUGAGAGUGGAAAGUUCACACUGUGACGGUAGCUUACCAGAAAGGGACGGCUAACUACGUG